rnacentral:rRNA from 1 species
UACGUAGGGUGCGAGCGUUGUCCGGAAUUAUUGGGCGUAAAGAGCUUGUAGGCGGUUUGUCGCGUCUGCUGUGAAAAUCCGGGGCUCAACCCCGGACUUGCAGUGGGUACGGCAGACUAGAGUGUGGUAGGGGAGACUGGAAUUCCUGGUGUAGCGGUGAAAUGCGCAGAUAUCAGGAGGAACACCGAUGGCGAAGGCAGGUCUCUGGGCCACUACUGACGCUGAGAAGCGAAAGCAUGGGGAGCGAACAGG